UUUAGUUUGUUGAUUUCUGAAUUGAUUUACAAGAUGAUUGAUUAUGUGGAUGCUGCAUUCGCGGACAAAACACAUAAUCUAUUAUUAUCGACGGCGACACGGUGACGUUUGUGCUUCUUCUCAUCACCAAUCCAUUUCCAAUCAAACGUUCAGAUCAACUGGAAAGACAACAAUGGAGACAUUCUUGAAUGAUGUCCGAAUUGGGACGAGCGGAGCUUCGAUUUUGGCUAAUUGAUUUGUUUGGAAUUUCUGGGAAGCGAGGAACACGGCGAAGGGGCAUUUUAAUUGGUUUAUAGCUCCUGCUUAUUGACGAACAGGUUAGAACUUUGUGUUGAUUAAUUUUACUGCUUCCAUUUGUUCCUAUUAACUAAUACCAUUCUGCGAAAGGCAACUGAGCGUGGACAAGAAUACAUUCUUAUUAUUUUCUUUGCAACAAAAAAAAAAAGAAAAGGUUCUGCAACUCCAGUUGGUGAUUUUGGAAAUAUGAAGAAGUGCAAGCAAGAAGCUUUAUCAGACAUUUAAUCUGCUAGAAGACUAAACUAAAGAACUCAAGAUUCUUAUCAUCAUGGAGCAUAAACAUCCUCUACCCAUCCAUGGCAAAGUUACACAGUUUUUCCACAACAAUUGACGCUCAACGUAAUUCUUCACAACAAAAUCCUCAUAUCAGGUUAUGGCAAAUCGCAGAUUGUUAGAUGCAUCUGAUGGUUAUAGACUAUGAGAAUUAUGGAAUACCUAAUGCCGAGUACCAUUCAAUUGUGAGGAGGCGGUAGAGAAGUUGAUUCCGUUCUCCAGGUGGUGCGCUGCUUUGAGGACAACGAUAUUUAUCAUGUCGGUGGCAAAGUAAAUCCCACGUCUGACCUUGAUUUCAUCAAUCUCAAACUCAUUUUCUGCGACUUGGAUCAGGUUACGCUUACUUAUUCAUUCCCUUUCUCGAACCUGGCUAAGCAUAGUUUUAUUAAAGCUGAUUUACUUCACCUUCUUACAAGAAAUACAGAUUUGUAAAAUACUCGAGAGACUUACGAAAUGCAAGGCAAGAGGAUUCACAAUCUAAAGUCAAAGAAAACUAUUGUCUGAAUGCCUUUGGGAAAUUGAGAAAUUAAAAUUAUCUGAGAUGUCAAGCAAAUAAGGCGUCAUUGAAGUGGCGAAGAUGUGAGCAGUGCUUGCUUCUCAUAUACUCAACUUCAGUAGUAAACUUUUGUGAUUCUCUUUAUAACGACCGAUGAUUUGUUUGAAACCAUAUAUGUUUUUGAAUCCUCACAGUUUCAUUUUAGAGCAAGAUCUAAAGUGAGGUACAUGUGCAGCAUUUACAAGCUACACGAUGAAGCCAAAUACAAGGUCUUCAUGCGCUGGAUAUCUGAUGAGUCAAAAUGGGAGCACCAAUUUAAAUGUUGUUCUAAAGAUGGUGUAAAGAAAUGCUGUUCUAAAGCUUCCGAUAAACCAUGUUUUGUUCUUGGAUAUGAUCUUGCAACUUUGAAUUUAAUAAUUUAUUAUUUUGUUUGACUUAAUAAUUA